rnacentral:rRNA from 1 species
AGUGGCGAACGGGUGAGUAAUACAUCGGAACGUACCUUAUCGUGGGGGAUAACGCAGCGAAAGCUGUGCUAAUACCGCAUACGCCCUGAGGGGGAAAGCGGGGGAUCGAAAGACCACGCGCGAUUAGAGCGGCCGAUGCCUGAUUAGCUUGUUGGUGGGUAAAAGCCCACCAAGGCGACGAUCAGUAGCUGGUCUGAGAGGACGAUCAGCCACACUGGGACUGAGACACGGCCCAGACUCCUACGGGAGGCAGCAGUGGGGAAUUUAGGACAAUGGGGGAAACCCUGAUCCAGCAAUGCCGCGUGAGUGAAGAAGGCCUUCGGGUUGUAAAGCUCUUUUGUCAGGGAAGAAACACCGGCUCUAACACAGUCCGGGAAUGACGGUACCUGAAGAAUAAGCACCGGCUAACUACGUGCCAGCAGCCGCGGUAAUACGUAGGGUGCGAGCGUUAAUCGGAAUUACUGGGCGUAAAGCGUGCGCAGGCGGUUAUACAAGACAGGCGUGAAAUCCCCGGGCUUAACCUGGGAAUGGCGCCUGUGACUGUAUAGCUAGAGUGUGUCAGAGGGGGGUAGAAUUCCACGUGUAGCAGUGAAAUGCGUAGAUAUGUGGAGGAAUACCAAUGGCGAAGGCAGCCCCCUGGGAUAACACUGACGCUCAUGCACGAAAGCGUGGGAGCAAACAGGAUUAGAUACCCUGGUAG